CGUUGUCAGGUCCAUAACCUCGCCGCUAGCCAUGGUCGACUAUCCUUUUCCUGGUUAGCACACCACAUACGGCGCCUACCCACCCCAGCAGCAGCCCGAGACGGCGUACAGCCACUACGACCAACCCACGCUCAACAUGUUCCAUCAGGCAGCGCCUCCUCUGCAGCAGCCCCAGACGACCUAUGCAUACCUACCGGCGCCACAGCCUCCACUGCCGACCACGACAGUGGUUGUGAGUGAGGGCCCCUACGGCUAUGAGCAAGGGCUCUUCCCACCGUCGCCGCCGCCGCGUCCGGGACUUCUGGAUGUCUUGCUAGACCCAACUCACCAUCACCACCAUGGCAACCCACCAGGUCCACCUGGCGGGUUUGGUGGUCCCGGCGUCUUUGGCGGUCCUCCAGACGGGCUUGGCAGUUUUGGCGGAGCACCAGGCCGGCCAGGGUGCCAACAACACGGCGGUCUCUGGUAGGUUGGAAUUCAUAAAACGACAGCGAAGUCCACUUCACCUCGGCGUAAGCGCGCCUGUGACACUCUUAAAUCGAUGCUGAAACUGCACAACACUAUCACUUCUUGGGCCGCACUAUUCCUUCCGUUGCCCUUCUCCGAACUAUACUGAUGACCCACUGUGAUGUUUUUAUUUUUCUUCCUGUCUCUGUGACUCACGGCCUCUGCAUGGGCCGCCUUCGCCGUGUGCCGGUGUUGUAUGGAUGUCAGUUGCUGUUGCCUCGCACCUGUUCGUUUCCAUCGGCACCGUCCUCUUUUUUGUGUGUGUUUCUCUGCUGCGAACAUGUUUUUUUUUUUCCUGACUGUUGUCCCUGCAUACAUUGCUUCCGCCGCAUCGGGCUUGACGUUCUCGCUAAAUUGCCUCCCUCUUGUCCUCUUCUGAUCUCCGCCAGCCCACCCACUCGGCUCAUCAUCUCCGCCGGUGAGUGGGCUACCAUGUGGUGACCGUGACGCCACGGAAACUUACCUGAUAACUCUGCAGCAAGUGGUGGCAUGUGCAUCAGGUAGCGCUCUUGCGCAUUACGGGUACUUUUUUCCCUAGAUAUCGACGCGCCAGUGCUGACGGCUCAGUGGCGCUGAGGAGCUGGGCCGGAGCGGCCUCAAAGCCCCUUGGCGACUCGUGCAUCUGCCGAGUAUCAUGGUGUGCCGUGUAGGCACGCCGCUUAUUCUUCCAUCUCUUUUUUUUUAUCUCUCGCCCCGCAUCUCUCACGACUGCCCCUUCGUGACCACUUGAAAUGCGACCAUGCGGCUGAACCCUUUAUCCUUGUUCCGUACACGGGAAG
rnacentral:misc_RNA from 1 species